rnacentral:rRNA from 1 species
AUUGAACGCUGGCGGCAGGCCUAAUACAUGCAAGUCGAGCGUGCGGCGGACGGGUGAGUAUUGUCUGGGAAACUGCCUGAUGGAGGGGGAUAACUCCUGGCAACGGUAGCUAAUACCGCAUACUAUCAGAUGUGCCCAGAUGGGAUGAGCUAGUGGGUGGGGUAACGGCUCACCGAGGCGACGAGCCCUAGCUGGUCUGAGAGGAUGACCAGCCACACUGGGACUGAGACACGGUCCAGACUCCUACGGGAGGCAGCAGUGGGGAAUAUUGCACAAUGGGCGCAAGCCUGAUACAGCCAUGCCGCGUGUGUGAAGAAGGCCUUAGGGUUGUAAAGCACUUUCAGCGGGGAGGCGUUACCCGCAGAAGAAGCACCGGCUAACUCCGUGCCAGCAGCCGCGGUAAUUC